rnacentral:rRNA from 2 species
UAUCCGGAUUUACUGGGCGUAAAGGGUGCGUAGGCGGUCUUUCAAGUCAGGAGUGAAAGGCUACGGCUCAACCGUAGUAAGCUCUUGAAACUGGGAGACUUGAGUGCAGGAGAGGAGAGUGGAAUUCCUAGUGUAGCGGUGAAAUGCGUAGAUAUUAGGAGGAACACCAGUUGCGAAGGCGGCUCUCUGGACUGUAACUGACGCUGAGGCACGAAAGCGUGGGGAGCAAACAGGAUUAGAUACCCUGGUAGUCCACGCUGUAAACGAUGAGUACUAGGUGUCGGGGGUUACCCCC